rnacentral:rRNA from 1 species
UACGUAGGGGGCAAGCGUUGUCCGGAUUUAUUGGGCGUAAAGAGCGUGUAGGCGGCCAUACAGGUCCGUUGUGAAAACUGGAGGCUUAACCUCCAGACGUCGAUGGAAACCGUAUGGCUAGAGUCCGGAAGAGGAGAGUGGAAUUCCUGGUGUAGCGGUGAAAUGCGCAGAUAUCAGGAAGAACACCCGUGGCGAAGGCGGCUCUCUGGGACGGGACUGACGCUGAGACGCGAAAGCGUGGGGAGCGAACAGG